GACGAACGCUGGCGGCGUGCCUAAUACAUGCAAGUAGAACGCACAGUUUAUACCGUAGCUUGCUACACCAUAGACUGUGAGUUGCGAACGGGUGAGUAACGCGUAGGUAACCUGCCUGGUAGCGGGGGAUAACUAUUGGAAACGAUAGCUAAUACCGCAUAACAUUGAUUAUUGCAUGAUAAUUGAUUGAAAGAUGCUAUUGCAUCACUACCAGAUGGACCUGCGUUGUAUUAGCUAGUAGGUGAGGUAACGGCUCACCUAGGCGACGAUACAUAGCCGACCUGAGAGGGUGAUCGGCCACACUGGGACUGAGACACGGCCCAGACUCCUACGGGAGGCAGCAGGAGGGAAUCGUCGGCAAUGGACGAAAGUCUGACCGAGCAACGCCGCGUGAGUGAAGAAGGUUGUCGGAUCGUAAAGCUCUGUUGUAAGAGAAGAACGGGUGUGAGAGUGGAAAGUUCACACUGUGACGGUAUCUUACCAGAAAGGGACGGCUAACUACGUG
rnacentral:rRNA from 1 species